UACGUAGGGGUCGAGCGUUGUCCGGAGUUACUGGGCGUAAAGCGUGCGCAGGCGGCUCAUUGCGCCCCGGCGUGAAAGCCCCCGGCUCAACCGGGGAGGGUCGUCGGGUACGGGUGAGCUUGAGGGUAUCAGGGGCUGGUGGAAUUCCCGGUGUAGUGGUGAAAUGCGUAGAGAUCGGGAGGAACACCCGUGGCGAAGGCGGCCGGCUGGGAUACACCUGACGCUGAGGCACGAAGGCGUGGGGAGCGAACGGG
rnacentral:rRNA from 1 species